UACGUAGGGGGCAAGCGUUGUCCGGAUUUAUUGGGCGUAAAGAGCGUGUAGGCGGCUUUACAGGUCCGUUGUGAAAACUCGAGGCUCAACCUCGAGACGCCGGUGGAAACCGUAAAGCUAGAGUCCGGAAGAGGAGAGUGGAAUUCCUGGUGUAGCGGUGAAAUGCGCAGAUAUCAGGAAGAACACCCGUGGCGAAGGCGGCUCUCUGGGACGGUACUGACGCUGAGGCGCGAAAGCUAGGGGAGCGAACGGG
rnacentral:rRNA from 1 species